UUAAAUUGAAGAGUUUGAUCAUGGCUCAGAUUGAACGCUGGCGGCAGGCCUAACACAUGCAAGUCGAACGGUAACAGGAAGCAGCUUGCUGCUUCGCUGACGAGUGGCGGACGGGUGAGUAAUGUCUGGGAAGCUGCCUGAUGGAGGGGGAUAACUACUGGAAACGGUAGCUAAUACCGCAUAAUGUCGCAAGACCAAAGAGGGGGACCUUCGGGCCUCUUGCCAUCGGAUGUGCCCAGAUGGGAUUAGCUAGUAGGUGGGGUAACGGCUCACCUAGGCGACGAUCCCUAGCUGGUCUGAGAGGAUGACCAGCCACACUGGAACUGAGACACGGUCCAGACUCCUACGGGAGGCAGCAGUGGGGAAUAUUGCACAAUGGGCGCAAGCCUGAUGCAGCCAUGCCGCGUGUAUGAAGAAGGCCUUCGGGUUGUAAAGUACUUUCAGCGGGGAGGAAGGGAGUAAAGUUAAUACCUUUGCUCAUUGACGUUACCCGCAGAAGAAGCACCGGCUAACUCCGUGCCAGCAGCCGCGGUAAUACGGAGGGUGCAAGCGUUAAUCGGAAUUACUGGGCGUAAAGCGCACGCAGGCGGUUUGUUAAGUCAGAUGUGAAAUCCCCGGGCUCAACCUGGGAACUGCAUCUGAUACUGGCAAGCUUGAGUCUCGUAGAGGGGGGUAGAAUUCCAGGUGUAGCGGUGAAAUGCGUAGAGAUCUGGAGGAAUACCGGUGGCGAAGGCGGCCCCCUGGACGAAGACUGACGCUCAGGUGCGAAAGCGUGGGGAGCAAACAGGAUUAGAUACCCUGGUAGUCCACGCCGUAAACGAUGUCGACUUGGAGGUUGUGCCCUUGAGGCGUGGCUUCCGGAGCUAACGCGUUAAGUCGACCGCCUGGGGAGUACGGCCGCAAGGUUAAAACUCAAAUGAAUUGACGGGGGCCCGCACAAGCGGUGGAGCAUGUGGUUUAAUUCGAUGCAACGCGAAGAACCUUACCUGGUCUUGACAUCCACGGAAGUUUUCAGAGAUGAGAAUGUGCCUUCGGGAACCGUGAGACAGGUGCUGCAUGGCUGUCGUCAGCUCGUGUUGUGAAAUGUUGGGUUAAGUCCCGCAACGAGCGCAACCCUUAUCCUUUGUUGCCAGCGGUCCGGCCGGGAACUCAAAGGAGACUGCCAGUGAUAAACUGGAGGAAGGUGGGGAUGACGUCAAGUCAUCAUGGCCCUUACGACCAGGGCUACACACGUGCUACAAUGGCGCAUACAAAGAGAAGCGACCUCGCGAGAGCAAGCGGACCUCAUAAAGUGCGUCGUAGUCCGGAUUGGAGUCUGCAACUCGACUCCAUGAAGUCGGAAUCGCUAGUAAUCGUGGAUCAGAAUGCCACGGUGAAUACGUUCCCGGGCCUUGUACACACCGCCCGUCACACCAUGGGAGUGGGUUGCAAAAGAAGUAGGUAGCUUAACCUUCGGGAGGGCGCUUACCACUUUGUGAUUCAUGACUGGGGUGAAGUCGUAACAAGGUAACCGUAGGGGAACCUGCGGUUGGAUCACCUCCUUACCUUAAAGAAGC
rnacentral:rRNA from 1 species